rnacentral:rRNA from 1 species
UACAGAGGGUGCAAGCGUUGUUCGGAAUUAUUGGGCGUAAAGGGCGCGUAGGCGGUUCGGCAAGUCUCUAGUGAAAUCUCAGGGCUCAACUCUGAGUCUGCUGGGGAAACUGCCGGGCUUGAGUGUGGGAGAGGAGAGUGGAAUUCCCGGUGUAGCGGUGAAAUGCGUAGAUAUCGGGGAGGAACACCUGUGGCGAAAGCGGCUCUCUGGACCACAACUGACGCUGAGGCGCGAAAGCUAGGGGAGCAAACAGG